UCACACUAUAAAUGAAUAAUUAUAAUUACUAUUAAAUUUAUAAGAAAUAAUCUCUCAAUUUGUCAUAGAAUUCUUGGCUCAUAUGAUUUGGUGUGGACAGACUCAAGCAUGGUAAAUAGAAAUAGCGCUCUCUUUUAAGGGAAGGAAACUUUCCUCUUUGGUUGUAGGGUGAGGAAAACCAGGGGGAGGGAAGGUUGUUGAGAUGUCUGUUGAAUAGGGCUUUGCUAGAUGGCCAAGCCUUUUGAAACUGCUUUCAUAUCUCUUAUUUUCUCCUCAGGUUAGUCCUGUGAAGUAGGCAGGGCAAGUAUUAUCCCUCUCUCGAGAUGGAAUUGAAGAAAUUGAGGUGCAGAGAGAUUGUGUAAUUGAGGUCAGCCAGCAAAUUCAUAGCAGAGUUGGGAUUACAAUCUUGGUCUCCUGAUACAAGUCCCAGGCUUUUUCCACUAGCAUCACUAGGGGUAGUACAUUAAAAUUCUCUGGUACUACCAUCUUGAAAAAAGCCACUAGACAAGACUGCUGUGAUGGCUCCCAACAUGGGAAGUGUCUGUUGCUGACAAAUCCAAGUUGAACUUCAGGUUGGAAGCAAGGGCCUACUUUCACCCUCAGUCCCUCUCCCCUAACCUGGAUUAACACUCAGCUCUAGAGCUCCCCCCUCUGCCAAGCACACAGGGUGUACAGAGAGAGACAGACAUUAUGUGAUGUUCAUCUCACCCUUUUCACUAACAGACCCAGUUGAAUAGGAACAUACCCAAUUCUUGGCAGAGGGAGAGUUUUGAUCCAGACUUAGAAAUGCAGGUGAGGUCUUCAGUGUCUGAGAACCCCAGCUUCUUAGUGUACCAAUACCUGAAAUAUCGCAGGGCAUGUGGCAAGAGCUGGCUGGCACUAACUCCACGUUGUUGUGCUAAGAGUUUGGAAUUUAAUUUGAAAAUAAAUAAGAAUAUUAGUUGACCAGAUUGCAUUUUGGAGUCUUUCCCUUCUUGGCUCACUAUUGUUCUUUUUCUUGAAGUCCCUUCUCUUCUCAUCUAAUUUUGAGACUCUGAAGGUGUAUGGGGAGAGGGUACCAGGUCCCAUGUACGCGCUGCCUGAUAGAACUUGAGCUCUGGGAACAGGGGGAUGGCUCUGCGAGUAAAUGGAGGGAUUUAAAGUCAAAUGAAUUUCCAUCUUUUACUCUAUAUUUUUAACUCCCUUUUGACCUACUGGAACAAGGAAAUGGAUCGGCAAAGGAUGAGUGAGACCUAUGGUGUCUGACUUGGUUCUCCCUCCCUUUCUCUCUCCGGGAGCCUUCCCCAAGGAGCCUUUUGCAGGCUGGAAUAACAUGCCUCUCUCUCAGCUCCACAUUCUCCUGCUAGCAGAUGUGAGGAAGUUCCUGCUUUGCAGAGGUAGCUCAGUAUGUGGUGGUCAGUGUCCUGUACUGGGUCACUUGCUGAGGAAGAGGAACGAGUCUCCAUAACCAGGAGCAGUAGUAGGCAGAUCCCAGGCUCUUUUCCUUUAGGCAUUACCUGUGCCAUUCAUCUAGAGCUAUGUGGGGAGGUAGAAUCACGGAAUCAUAGGAUUUAGAGCCAGAAGGGACGGUAAAGAUCAUCCCAGAUUGGUCAUUUUAGACCUUAGCCUACACAUUGAGUACUUAAAAAUCAUCCCAGAUUGGUCAUCUCAGACCUUAGUCUACACAUUAGUAUUUAAGGUUAGGUCCCUGCCUGUGGUGAGCCUGGCCCUACCCUUUUCCCCUUUUUUCCCCUCCCACCCCCCGGGAAUUUCAGCCUUUUUCUGCUAGACUUGCCCUGGGACUGGUUUGGAUACUGAAUUAUGAAAAGCCUGGGCGGGUCUGCAGGCUAGAGGGACGGAGGCGAGCUGGCAGCCCCAGAGCCAAGCACCCGGUGGCGUGUCGGGCCUGGCCAGCUCCCCAGCCCCACACAGAGGCGGCCUGGGAGCAUCAGUGUGCUCCUUCAGCCUUCCCCAGGGGAUGAGGCGGGAUUGCUGGCCGAGAAGUGUCCUGCUUGGCAGUUUCUUGUUGCUCCAGCUUAGCUGGCGGAAGAGCCGGGCUCCCCAACCUUUCCCAGGAGGGCAAAGGUUUCCCUUGAUAGAAGGAGGCUGGAGGGUUGGGGCAGCGGGAAGGUCCGAGCUGUUCCCAAGGCUGGAAGAUUGCCUUGCUUCCACCCAAGGCGUCGGAACUGCCCUCCCGCUCCUGCGCUCCCCGGCUCCCCCGCUCUCCCGCCCCCCACCUCCCAUCCUCCAUCCUUUCGUUCCCACUAGGGAUUUGCAGGGUCACUGAAACGGCUCCUCCUUCUCCCAUUUCCCUCUCCAAACCCAGUCCAAAGCAACGGCAAGGCUUCGCCUUCUGGGGCUUAUUUUAUUCUAAUUCUUUGUUUUUGGCAGCAAAACUCUUAACGGAAAGAGGGGGGUGGGGCCGGGGGAUGGCGCUCCUGCUUCAGCCCAGCUGUGGGGCUGUGGGAGAGCCGCCCGCAGGGGUCGGGGUCGGGAACUAGAGCUUCAGCCUGUGGAAAUCUGAAACUCGGAAAGAGUGAGGCAGAGAAUCUCCGUACUCCGCAGAGAAUCUCUUGGGGGGGCUACGUAGGCCCCUGUGGGUAUCAAAACCUCCCAGGGGAGAGGGGACAGACACCUGGUGAUUGUUGUAGACUGGGCGGCCCGUACCAUAGAGACUCCCCUGAGGCGAUCUCCAAGAGACUGUGGCGGGUGUAGCCUUCUGGGAGUAUACCCUUAUUAUUCCUGCAGAUUAUAUCACCAUUAGUGUAUAAUUAUUGUAUAAUGGGCGUUAUUACAUAAUGUCCGUUAUAUAACGCUCAGCCGGAGAUACAGACAGUAGGGAUAUUAUAUGUGUGUGUGUCUAUGUAUAGACACCUUCCUCACACUGGAUAUGUGGUCAUAUCAUAACCAUCAUGUAAAUACUUCCCUUAGCUGGGCUAUAAAUUUCCGAAGAGUGACGUCAACAGGCUCCUUACUGCGUUUGGAGGCGGAGGGGGGAAGGGAGGGUGAGAAUAUUUGGCCCCACCUAUCUCUUAUGACAUCAUGGUUUCCUUAGCAACCGUGUGCUCCCAAGGGGGACAAAGCGAAGAGAAGACUUUAGAAGAAGGGGGAUAUAGAUAAAAACCCAAAUGAGGAAAUGAUGAAGCCCCUACCCAAAUGUCUAUCCGUCCCAUGAGGAUGCUGAACUCAUCCCUACACAGGAUUUUUUCUAUUGCCAGAUCAUUCUUCCUUGGUAGAUACCCUUUGGCACAUAUUGGCAAGGACAGUCUUGUGCUCCGUUGGAAUUGUUUGCCGUUAAUCUGAAAAUGUUUCCUUCUCUUCAACCACACUCCAGUCUACUCCUUCCUGACAGUGGGAGUUUCACAGAGACCAGGAAACUGAGCCUGGAGAAAUUUGUCCAAGGACAUAAAGGUGCUACAUAAUUGGCAGAACCAAGGUUUGCACCCAGGUCCUUUGCCUGACUUCAGAUUCAGCUCUGCUCCCCAGGAGACUUUCUGCCUUUUCAUCUUCCAAGAAUAGGGUGCUGUUUCACCCAUCAAGAAGAAUGUCUCUUCACCAGCUCCACUGCUCAUCACCUAACUGCACAUAAGCUUCCAGGGUUGGAGGAAGCCCAGAGGAAGAGCAGCUUGUAGGCCACUGGAGUAAAGAACGUGGUCGCAAAUUCAUUGUCAUUAGUAAUGGAGUCUGCAGGGAACUCGUGGCUCAGUGGGCAUAGCCCUCACACUUCUGCCCUCAUCUUAAUCAGACUGAAGCAAAGAGAAAGUUCUGGGGCAGGAGGAGUGGGAGAAAGGCAGGAAGCAGCAGCGGGAGUGUGAGGCAGGAGAAGCUCUUGGGUCGGGACCCAGUCUCAUGAGGUGGGGCUAGGGCGGCACUGCCAGGUGUUUGGGGCUUUGCCCAACUCCUCACACCAGCCUUGCCAGAGUCCAGAGGACUGCAAGUGAGUCAGCCAGACUGCCUGCUGCCAGGUGUCCCAGAAGAAGGAGCACCCAGGCCAGGCUGGGUGCUCAGGUAGAGCCAGAAGCAAUGCCAGACCUGGGGGAGGAAGCAGAGUCCAUGUCUUUGCGCACAGGAGCCAGCCGGAUAUGAUUCUUGCUUUGGCUACUGGGGAAGCAGAGAGAGGAGGGUGCAGGUGCCCACUGCUCAGGUGCAGCUGCCUGGCCCAGCAAAUGGCAGAUACCUUUGUACCAUUAUUGAGGAGGGUCCCAGUAAGCUUUCCAUUGGAUGGGAGAGGGGUCGGUGGCUCUUGUACAUAUAUCCAGCUUUCCUUUACCUACCUCACAGAAUUGUCAGGUCCACCUUGCAAGCCUGAAAAUACUCUAUAACAUGAGCUAUAAAUGAAGUUCCUCUGCUUUAUUGAGGGCUGAAACUUCAGUGUGACUCGGGUUUCCUUUUCCAGUUCCUGAACUAGCUAGGGUAGUGCAUUGAGGUACUGGGGAGCUGGGAAGUCAGCCACAGGCAACUUUAUUAUUUUCAGACCACCAGCCAAGGUCUACAGAGAGAACAAGACAUUCAGAGGUAAUGGGGAAAGGGGUACAGACCUUUGGCCUCUGUUUUUAGGAAGUCCAUACAGCUUUAAAACUGUGGAGAAUGCAGGCAGAGAUGUAGGUCCAUGCAUCCCCUUCCCUCCCUUCUCCUCCCCUCCCUUUCCCUCAGUCAGGGCCUCUUCCCCACGUGGCUCAUUACAGCUCCAGUUGUUCAGGUCCUGACCCCAAGAUCCUUCCCUCUUGACCUCUGACCAGCAGAUACUAAUCUGUGUCAACAGGCCCCAUGGGUUAGAGAAACACAAACCCCAGCUCUGCCUUGGCAGGUGUGAAUGCUAGGUGGGGGAAGGGGAUCAGGAGGAGGGGAUCAAACACUUGCAAGGGGAAGAGAGUUGACUGUUGCCUGCCCAGCCUGUGGGGCUUGUGGGAAUAAUCGGGCAAAACAGGCUUUUCAGAUGAGCCCUUGGAAAGGAGAAUAACCCAGAUAGCUUCUCAGCAUAGUAGAUAGGUAAUUCAUUGACAAUUUCCCUUCCUAGUAUGGCAAAAGCCCUCCCUGCUUCUUUGAAAUUCUAUUGAAUUUUUCUUGGUCUCACUUUUAAGUUUUCUCUCAAUUUCUGCAAGUGUCUUUUAUUAUUUUCUUCCUCCUUACAUUUUUUUUUUUUUUUUUUUUGUCUUCCAUCUCUGUGGAAACUUGGGGCCCAGAUAUCCUUUCUGAUUGCUACUAGUAUUGAAGGAAGAGGGUUGGUGAGGCUUCCUUUUGCCUUUCCUAUAUCAGAAAUAGGUGAGACAAGAAACUUGACAGGUCAACUUUAAUUUCUUACUUGGCGGUCCUUUUGAGGUUCACCCCAGGAAAGGCCCUGCUCCUUUUCCUUACACAGAGCCUUCCAACUAGAUGGUGGCCAAGGUCCCUUUCAGAUCUAGAGUUAGGGGCAAUUCUCCAAGCUCCUCAGUGGUCUUCUGAAGGAUGAGUGGAUAUCAGCCGAGCAGGCUCAGGGCCACUAACCACUGACUGGAGCAGGGAACCUCUGGGACCAUUAGAGAAAGUGCUAACUCUCUUUUCAGAUGGCCUGGUAUGCUGAAAUCUUACAGAAAUAAGUAGUGUAACUUUAGUUGCUAACAAAGUAGGUUUCCCCUGCUAGUUCUCCUGGUAAGGGGUAUCUAUUGGCAACUAAAGAUUACUUCUCUCUCUGAGAGAGACCUUAGCAGGCUGAACCACAUUAAGCUGGGGUUGGGACUGGGUUAUUAGACUUCUGGGCCUGGUGAAGAAGUCCAGAUGGUGUCUAGACCAACUCUCUCUGCCUUCAGGCAGGGCAGUCCUUGGCCAUCCAAAGAAAGUGAUGGAUCCUUUAUUUCCCCUUCUUUUGGGAGUAGUAUUAUAUGUAUGUUGAGUUCAGAGUUGGAGCUAGGGGAAAGCCGCCCUUUCCCUUUCCCCAUUUGCCUAUCUUGCUGCCUUGUUCCUUCCCCAAAUAUAACUUGCCCAGUAAGUAGUAUUCCUUGCCCAUCCCUCGGGGAAAGCAGAGGCCCCCUCCAGAUCUGGAUACUUGUUUCUCUACACUUCAGAGCUGGGGCCCUGUUCUUUUCUCAUUCUACACCAGUUCCCCCCAGCAGGAGAACAAACUGUGAACAAAUUCAAAUUAGCCAUAGCAGAGGACCUGAGACCUCCAGGAAUAAAACUCAUGCUGGACACACUCUCUUGAGGCUAGUGAAAGGGGCAGUGAGAGAAGAGCUCCUCAGACCUUCUUCCUUCUCCCAGAGUUCUAUUCCCCCUCUGAGCCUGGAUGCCCCGAUCCUGGACGAUAAACUUGUCAGUCUCAUUUCCCCUACAUUCCCUGCCUCCUGCUCAGAGACUCUUGGCUAGUAGGAGGUCCAGAUCCACACCCUCUCUCCCAAUUCUAAGCUAUUUCUUACAAAGUCAGGGUCUUUCAUUCUCUAUCCCUAGGCUUUGGCUCUUGAGAUAAGCCUCCCCCUUCCACCCAGCAGCUGAGUGUGCCGUGUCCCGGCUAGCCCCAGGCCCUGCUUUUAGGCCUGCAUUUUGCCUGCUUGUCCACGUUAGAACCCAGCUUGUUCAGGGAGGCAUACAUCUGCUUGACAGUUUGUAUCCAUGGGCAAAAGAAGGCAGUACGGGGAGGGUUCUGGGCUGAAUGAAGCAGGGAAAAAGCAACCACAGGCAUGUGUGUGAUGGGUGGUUUUCAGUCCCGCUGUUGGCUGUGGUGGAGUUGGCAGGUUCCAGGGAAGGCUAUCUAGCUGGGCACCUUGGGAUACCUCCCUCCUAUUCUGGGUGCUUUGCUUCUCUCCUGACUCCCUCUUCUUCCCUCCCCUUCCUGGCUUUGGCUCUCUGGCAGGGCUGGGGAGCAACAAAGUUUCCAAACAUUUUUUUUCAUUUCCCAAACUUUUCCAGAUGCCAGGAAGAGGCCAGAGAGGCCCUGGGACUCUGUUGAGAAGGGGGAAGGGAAAUCCUUUCUAAGGCUUCUCUUUUUCCUUUUACAGGGAAGGAGAUACAACUGGGCACAUAGGGAGAACCAGGUGGUCAGGGAUUACCCCGGCUCCUCCGAUAGAGUUCAGUCCAGAGGUGACAAGGGUCACUUGGGACUGCCUGCUCAGUGCUCUGUCUCCCUAGUUUGGGGGGGGGGGGAGGGGGAAUAUAAAGGGAUGAUGUGUGUCUGCUGACCUACCCCAAUCCCUAUCACUCCCCCCUGGCAAAAGGGAGCUGGGAAAGGAUACUUUGAGUUACUUCUGGGCAACUGUGAACUACUUCAGUGUCACACUUAGCAAACCUUGCAUAUUACAUAGGGAAGAGGCUUCCUUUGUUAAAAAAAAAAAAAAAAAAAAAAAAAAAAAAAAAAAAAAAAAAAAAAAAAAAGGUUCAUUACUACAACAGAGCAGUUCAGCCUGAAGGAACAGAGUUUUGGGGAGGGGAGAGCUGAUAUCUCCUAUCCACCCAUUUCCACAAAACCUGCCUUUUAGAAGUGAAAGCAGCUUCUAGAGUGAAGGAAAGAAAGUUCAUUAUUUUGAUUAGGGAAAUUAGACAUGGGAGAAUAUAGUGGGAGAAAAGACAGACAUCCCCUAUCACACACACCCCCCAUAUACUAAGGGGGCACUUUUCCAUUUAGUUCCCGCCCCUCUCUCCAUACUCUGUCCCCCCAUCCCCGGACACACUACACAAACAAAGGGCUCUUUGUGGUCCUGGUCCACUGGCCAGCUGCCAGCCACAUUCUUCAAAUGUUUCUUACACUAGGAUCUCCUGCCGCCCAGCCUGACUCCUUUCAUGAGGCUUGGGCCUCUGGCCUGGUAGUCCCUAUGUCCCUCUGACAUGACAUCCACACAUUUUUCCUUCCUGUCACCCACCAAGAAUAUUCAGCUUUCGAAGAACCCCACAUGCUCUAGCUGUCCUCAGGGCUUUCUUUUGGGUGAUGAUGGAUUGAGGGGGCCCACAUAAGGGUCAGUGAGACUGACUUGGGGAGCUCAUAAAAUACCAUAACUGGAAUGGGUCAUUUUCCCAUUUCCUUCCCCAAAAGGGUUUUAUAUCCUUACUGAAAAACAUUUUCCAAGAAGGGCAAAAGGGUCCAAGACUUGGUUUUCUGGAAUGUGCAUUAUAAGAUUUAGAGUUGGGAAUGAUAAUAAAAUCAAUUAAAAUAAUAG